GUGGCGGGCAUGCCUUAUCACGCAGUCGAGCGAACAGAAAAGGAGCUUGCUCCUUUGACGUUAGCGGCGGACGGGUGAGUAACACGUGGGCAACCUACCCUAUAGUUUGGGAUAACUCCGGGAAACCGGGGCUAAUACCGAAUAAUCUCCUUUACUUCAUGGUGAAAGACUGAAAGACGGUUUCGGCUGUCGCUAUAGGAUGGGCCCGCGGCGCAUUAGCUAGUUGGUGAGGUAACGGCUCACCAAGGCGACGAUGCGUAGCCGACCUGAGAGGGUGAUCGGCCACACUGGGACUGAGACACGGCCCAGACUCCUACGGGAGGCAGCAGUAGGGAAUCUUCCACAAUGGGCGAAAGCCUGAUGGAGCAACGCCGCGUGAGUGAAGAAGGUUUUCGGAUCGUAAAACUCUGUUGUAAGGGAAGAACAAGUACAGUAGUAACUGGCUGUACCUUGACGGUACCUUAUUAGAAAGCCACGGCUAACUACGUGCCAGCAGCCGCGGUAAUACGUAGGUGGCAAGCGUUGUCCGGAAUUAUUGGGCGUAAAGCGCGCGCAGGCGGUCCUUUAAGUCUGAUGUGAAAGCCCACGGCUCAACCGUGGAGGGUCAUUGGAAACUGGGGGACUUGAGUGCAGAAGAGGAAAGUGGAAUUCCAAGUGUAGCGGUGAAAUGCGUAGAGAUUUGGAGGAACACCAGUGGCGAAAGCGACUUUCUGGUCUGUAACUGACGCUGAGGCGCGAAAGCGUGGGGAGCAAACAGGAUUAGAUACGGCGGUUUGAGUAGCCACA
rnacentral:rRNA from 1 species